GUCCUCGUAGAGCACGGAAGCUCGCUCCUUCAUUAUAUGUAAGCAAUGUCAGCGCGACUUUUAGGGAGAGGUGGUGGUUCGACUCCACCUGAGGACA